rnacentral:rRNA from 2 species
UACGUAGGGUGCGAGCGUUAAUCGGAAUUACUGGGCGUAAAGCGUGCGCAGGCGGUUAUAUAAGACAGAUGUGAAAUCCCCGGGCUCAACCUGGGACCUGCAUUUGUGACUGUAUAGCUAGAGUACGGUAGAGGGGGAUGGAAUUCCGCGUGUAGCAGUGAAAUGCGUAGAUAUGCGGAGGAACACCGAUGGCGAAGGCAAUCCCCUGGACCUGUACUGACGCUCAUGCACGAAAGCGUGGGGAGCAAACAGG